rnacentral:rRNA from 1 species
UACGUAGGGUGCAAGCGUUAAUCGGAAUUACUGGGCGUAAAGCGUGCGCAGGCGGUUGUGUAAGACAGAUGUGAAAUCCCCGGGCUCAACCUGGGAACUGCAUUUGUGACUGCACGGCUGGAGUGCGGCAGAGGGGGAUGGAAUUCCGCGUGUAGCAGUGAAAUGCGUAGAGAUCAGGCAGAACACCUGGGGCGAAGGCGGCCAGCUGGGCCGUCCCUGACGCUGAGGCGCGAAGGCCAGGGGAGCAAACGGG